GUGGGGAAUCUUGCGCAAUGGGCGAAAGCCUGACGCAGCCAUGCCGCGUGAAUGAUGAAGGUCUUAGGAUUGUAAAAUUCUUUCACCGGGGACGAUAAUGACGGUACCCGGAGAAGAAGCUCCGGCUAACUUCGUGCCAGCAGCCGCGGUAAUACGAAGGGGGCUAGCGUUGCUCGGAAUUACUGGUCGUAAAGGGCGCGUAGGCGGACAGCUUAGUCAGAGGUGAAAGCCCAGGGCUCAACCUUGGAAUUGCCUUUGAUACUGGCUGUCUUGAGUUUGGGAGAGGUGAGUGGAACUCCGAGUGUAGAGGUGAAAUUCGUAGAUAUUCGGAAGAACACCAGUGGCGAAGGCGACUCACUGGCCCAAUACUGACGCUGAGGCGCGAAAGCGUGGGGAGCAAACAGGAUUAGAAACCCGAGUAGUCC
rnacentral:rRNA from 1 species